GAUGAACGCUGGCUACAGGCUUAACACAUGCAAGUCGAGGGGAAACGCCGGGGAAGCUUGCUUCCCCGGGCGUCGACCGGCGCACGGGUGAGUAACGCGUAUCCAACCUGCCUCUGACUGAGGGAUAACCCGUCGAAAGUCGGCCUAAUACCUCAUGGUAUCGUCUGCGGGCAUCCAACGACGAUUAAAGAUUUCAUCGGUCAGGGAUGGGGAUGCGUCUGAUUAGCUUGUUGGCGGGGUAACGGCCCACCAAGGCUACGAUCAGUAGGGGUUCUGAGAGGAAGGUCCCCCACAUUGGAACUGAGACACGGUCCAAACUCCUACGGGAGGCAGCAGUGAGGAAGAUUGGUCAAUGGGCGAGAGCCUGAACCAGCCAAGUAGCGUGCAGGAAGACGGCCCUAUGGGUUGUAAACUGCUUUUAUGCGGGGAUAAAGUGAGGGACGGGUCCCUCAUUGCAGGUACCGCAUGAAUAAGGACCGGCUAAUUCCGUG
rnacentral:rRNA from 1 species